AAAAGUCGUAACAAGGUCUCCGUUGGUGAACCAGCGGAGGGAUCAUUACUGAGUUGAAAAACUCCAACCCCUGUGAACAUAACCUCUGUCGUUGCUUCGGCGGGCACGCCCGCCGGAGGUUCAAAACUCUUAUUUUUUCCAGUAUCUCUGAGCCUGAAAGACAAAUAAUCAAAACUUUCAACAACGGAUCUCUUGGUUCUGGCAUCGAUGAAGAACGCAGCGAAAUGCGAUAAGUAAUGUGAAUUGCAGAAUUCAGUGAAUCAUCGAAUCUUUGAACGCACAUUGCGCCCGCCGGUAUUCCGGCGGGCAUGCCUGUUCGAGCGUCAUUUCAACCCUCAAGCCUCGGCUUGGUGUUGGGGCGCCCGGGCCCUCCGCGGCCCGGGGCCCCCAAGUUCAUCGGCGGGCUCGUCGGUACACUGAGCGCAGUAAAACGCGGUAAAACGCGAACCUCGUUCGGAUCGUCCCGGCGUGCUCCAGCCGCUAAACCCCCAAUUUUUUAAAGGUUGACCUCGGAUCAGGUAGGAAUACCCGCUGAACUUAAGCAUAUCAAUAAGC
rnacentral:rRNA from 1 species